GCGGGCGUGGUGAAACUGGUAGACACGCGAGAUUUAGGUUCUCGUGCCGCAAGGCGUGGGGGUUCAAGUCCCUCCGUCCGCA
rnacentral:tRNA from 1 species